rnacentral:sRNA from 1 species
CACGGCGGCUACACCGGCAGCGGACCGGGCUUUGGAGAACCUCGGGACUCAGGUGCUGAGGUGCCCAGCGGCUCCGGACGUGCUACGGGGUGCGAGCGCGGGGGAGUUCGGGGCGCACGACAAGGAAGGGCCCCCGGGAGCUCUAUAUGGAGGAAGGAGCCCAGAAUGGUGUGCACCAGGAAGACCAAAACUUUGGUGUCCACUUGCGUGAUCCUGAGCGGCAUGACUAACAUCAUCUGCCUGCUCUACGUGGGCUGGGUCACCAACUACAUCGCCAGCGUGUAUGUGCGGGGGCAGGAGCCGGCGCCCGACAAGAAGCUGGAGGAAGACAAAGGGGACACUCUGAAGAUUAUUGAGCGGCUGGACCACCUGGAGAAUGUCAUCAAGCAGCACAUUCAAGGCUAUAGGAGAAAUUUCUCCCUUCUGAAUGUGUCCAACUAGCUCUGUUCACCUGAGAAAUCACAUUCCUCAGCUCUGGGUAUCCCUGAAUAACCACAGGAGAACAGUUCCAGGCCCUGAUAAGUCAGCUAUUGCAAGGGGGACCUGGCUGGAAGAUAUGAAGGAAAAAUAUCAUUCUUGAACUAAUAAGUUGAGAGAUCACAGCCUUCAGGGGACCAGAAGGGAAGGCUGAACAGAGAAGGGCAAUUUCACGUUCGCCAUGUCCAUAUUUCUAUCGUCAUGAGCCAUCUCACCUUAUAGGCAGGGAAGUUUUGAGCUUAGAGAAUGGGAUGCGUCAAGAAAACCGUGGCUCCCCCAGCUCUGUUCCUGGAUUCAGUGCCUGUUGUUUCAUCCUGUGUAGACUGGAGUCAGGGUCUACACAGUUGGAAUUCUAUGGAACCAAGAUGCUGUGUGGCAGAUGGAUGUGGACUCCAACUGUGACAAUCCAGAAGGCCUUGGGGACUUGUUUCAUGAACAGCUCCCUGUAGGAUCUCUGUUGGGGUGGGGGAUUCUAGGGGCAUCUCCGCAGUUUUCUUCUGAAAACAAAAGGAAUACAAGUUGGGCAGGUGCAACAACUGUGCAUGCAGUCCCCUCCCAGGGCUGGCUAGCAGUAUUGUUGGGUACCGUAAGCACUUAGCAUUGUUAAGUGAGCAUAAGUAACAAGAUGCAACAGCCUCUGGUCAAGUUUUGAAGAUUUUGUUUUAAAAUAUGCUUUUAGAUUUUGACAUUCAUUAUUAUUAAAAGGAACAAAACUCAAUUUGGGGUCUCAAGAGCCACAAUUCUAGACUUCUAGGAUGUCAGGAGCUUCUAGAAGCUCUUAAGCUUCUCACCCUGCUGUUUUAAUGAGAUUAAUGAUUAUUUUCCACUGAGCACCUACCUGUGAUGUUCAUAAAAAAGUGAAAUAAAUGACUCACAUGGAGAUUUGGAAGGAUAUCACUGUGGAAAGUAGAUGUUAACAGCCUCUAGAAAUAUGAUAAUUAUCAGCUAUUUGAGAUGCAGUCACUGUAAUGUGAUAACAAGAUGUGUUGUGCAGGUAGAAAGCACGGAGAGAAAUGGCACAAAGUAGAGUUAUAAGAAAAAAGAAAGAAGAGA